UCCGAGUUGACCCCGGCAGUCUCCUACGAGUCCCCGGCAUAAUCCGCUGGCAACAUAGAAUAAGGGUUGCGCUCGUUGCGGGACUUAACCCAACAUCUCACGACACGAGCUGACGACAACCAUGCACCACCUGUGCACGGCCCUUACGGACCUCCCAUCUCUGGAAGAUUUCCGUGCAUGUCAAGCCUAGGUAAGGUUCUUCGCGUUGCAUCGAAUUAAACAACAUGCUCCGCUGCUUGUGCGGGCCCCCGUCAAUUCCUUUGAGUUUUAGCCUUGCGGCCGUAGUCCCCAGGCGGGAUGCUUAAUGCGUUAGCUGCGCCACCGACGAGCAAGCUCGCCGACGGCUAGCACCCAUAGUUUACGGCGUGGACUAC
rnacentral:misc_RNA from 1 species